CCGGAAGUCAAGAGUCAGAUUUGCCUUGUCACACCCCCGCGUCGCCUCGCUCUGGCGACACGGGGGGCACAAACCCUAGCGCCGCCACCGUUCUCCCCUUCCCCCACCCGUCUCGCUGCCGCCAGAGGGUGCCCGCCGGCGAAGUCUGGCCGGCCCCGAGGAAGGCGGCGGCGGGGCACUUCCUGUUGUUGGUGCGGCGCGUCGAGAGGAGCCGCUGGAGGACGCGCAGAGGAGAUCCACGAGCUCUGGAUCUGCGGUCCGUGCGCCAGAUCCGCGCGAUGCGCGUCCAUGACGACGCGGUGGAGGUGCCUGGCCGCGCGCCCGUCCAGCACUUGGUGAGCACGCGCACUUAGUUGCACGUGGGAGCCGUUGGGCGCGGUCACCGCAGCGUGGAAGCCCAGGGGCGGCGCGAACGCGCGUGUCGCCGUCGUGGGGUGCCGCUGGGGGACGCGGGCUCCCUCGGCUGGCGGCCUCUGGCUGGGAGCGGCCGGAUCUGACGGGCCUCGCCGGCCGGAUCUGGCGCUAUGGAGGCCGGAGGCCCGGAGGUGGCUCGGCCGGCGACUGUUUGCAAGCGGAUUGCGUGGUGGCUUCUAGUCGGGAUGGUGGUCUGGGGUAGCGUGGUCUGGGCAGUGCCUUCGGGAUGCUCUGGGCUUGCGCUGCCGGCGGUGCUCCGGCUAGUUUUGGGCGGUGCAGCAAGUAGCAUCUGCUGCUCCGAUCUGGUGGUGGUGUGUUGGAGACGUCGUCCCAGCAUAGGUGCUCGGUUCCUGACGAAAGUCAUGCUCAACUACGGUUUGGGCUGAUGGCGAAUGAUGCCUUUGGGUGUGAUUUUCCUUGUUGAAGGCGCCAUCGAGGGGAUCUGACACCUCUCCUUGCUCUAUGUUCUUGUCUCCCGGUGAAAACCGUGUGCAAUGGUCGCGCCAGUGGUGUCAUUACUUUGUUGGAAGCAUUGCCUUGGAGGCAAAUCUGGUGUGAGGAGCACUUGGUCAGUGGUGGUGUGGUGGAUCUGGAGCGGGCAGCGUUUUGGUGAGCUUGGAGCUUUUGGUGGUGCAUCCGUUUGCGGCUGGUCGUUCGGUCAACGGUGAGAGCAACAAGAGCAACCUUCACAUGCAAGUUGCGCCAGGCGAGCUAUGUCUACUUGCCUCGCGGGAUCGGAGCGGCAUAUGUAUCGCUCUUUCGGACAUAUCGUUCCUCUCCGGUGUCCUCGAUGUUUGUAGAUAUGCUCGUGGCAGCCCGGUACAAGACGACGGUUGUCGGUGUGCAUUUUGGUAGCAGCGAAGGCGCUCGAGUGCCCGCCCGGGUGUGUUGUGGGGUUUUGGCUUUCCGGCGCUUUUGUAUGUGUUGUGAUGCUUUAGACCUAGUCUAACUAGGCGUUGCUUGGUUUUUGCCCGGUUUUCCUUAAUAAACCGAGCAGUCCUUUUUUCGUUCUUUUUUUUUAGCACUCGUCUUUAUGCGGUGCAUUCCUCCUUUGAGGGUGUUCUUGUAAUACCUUUUUCUGAUCAACGAAUUUGGCAGUUCUCCUGUCAACGUUCAAAAAAAAAAAAGAGGUUAGUCUCCACACCGGAUUUAAUCUAUUUUUCUG
rnacentral:rRNA from 1 species